AAUGGAGAGAUAGGUGGAGAGAAUGAGACAGAGAGAAAGAGAGAGUGACAUUGACAGAGAGAGAAAUAGAUGGAUGGAGUCUGAGUACUCACUGACGUGGAGAUGAGGUCGACAAACAGGGAGACAAUGGUGGUAGCAUGAUGGUGUUGGGUUGGCUAUCGAGAGUGGAGAGAGAAACAGAGAAAUAGAGAGGGAGAGAGAGAAGCAGAUGGUAAAAGAGAAAAGAGAGA